rnacentral:misc_RNA from 1 species
CUCAUUAAUUUUAAGCUCAGACUAUUGAAUCUUUCUCUUGAAUAUUGCCUGGAGGCUUUUCUCCAGUCUGUGCCAGCCUUCAUCAUUGCAGCAAACUCCUCAUAGCUUAUGCGCCCAUCCUUGUCUGUAUCAACAUCAUGCAUGAUGGCAUUGAUAACAUCCUCGCUACAGGUGUCAAUUUCAUCAUUUAAGGAUUCUCUCAACUCUUCGAUCUCUAUGUAACCACUCUGAUUUUGAUCAAAAAAGGCAAAAGCUUUAUGUAGGUGCUCAUCAUUGCCCAUCUUUUUAAUGUGAACUGAAACUGCAACAAACUCUCCAUAAUUCAGUGUUCCAUCACCAUCUACAUCAGCAGCAUCCAUUAGAAUUUGAAGAUCCGCAUCAGGAAUUGGCUGGCCAAGCCUUUGCAACCCAUUUCUAAGCUCCUCAAUGUUAAUCUUGCCUCUUUUGGUUGUGUCCAUCAUGUCAAAGGCCUCCUGUAAGCCAGCCACUUCCUCCACCGACAAAUGCUCAGC